rnacentral:rRNA from 1 species
AGAGUUUGAUCCUGGCUCAGGACGAACGCUGGCGGUGUGCUUAACACAUGCAAGUCGAACGGUAAGGCCCUUUUUGGGGUACACGAGUGGCGAACGGGUGAGUAACACGUGAGUAACCUGCCCUCAUCUCUGGGAUAACAGUCGGAAACGGUUGCUAAUACUGGAUAUGAGCUUGCAAGGCAUCUUGUGGGUUGGAAAGAUAUUUUUUGGUUGGGGAUGGACUCGCGGCCUAUCAGCUUGUUGGUGAGGUAGUGGCUCACCAAGGCUUCGACGGGUAGCCGGCCUGAGAGGGCGACCGGCCACAUUGGGACUGAGAUACGGCCCAAACUCCUACGGGAGGCAGCAGUGGGGAAUAUUGCACAAUGGACGGAAGUCUGAUGCAGCAACGCCGCGUGCGGGAUGACGGCCUUCGGGUUGUAAACCGCUUUCAAUUGUGACGAAGCUUUUUGUGACGGUAGCAGUAGAAGAAGCACCGGCUAACUACGUG